GACAUCGCGCGCGCUGCCGCCGCCGCCGCCGUUUCUUCUGGGCCGCGUGACGCGCGCGCUCGGUGGGCGCGUUCCCGCGGUGCGGGCGGGAGCUGCGCCACAGCGCUGGGCGGCCUCCGUGCUUCACCCACCGCCACUCGGCGGACGGCGCCGAUCCGGAGCUUUCAUCCGCCGCUGCCCGGGUUUUGGCGCUCUCUCCGCUGCUGAAAGCUCCGAGAAAGGCGGUAAGGAACGGCUGGACGUCUUCUCACGGUGUGCUCGUAGGGUGGAAAUUCUUCCUGCCAUGAAACACACUGUUCUCUCAAGACACGACAAGGCAUUCUUCAUUAAAUAGAGUGUGAUUGUGUCGUUCAGAGAGGAGCUACAUCAUUCUGCCUCUUCCUGAGCAUGAUUUGAAUGUCGGGAUCAGCCCAAGACAAUGCAAGAACACAAGCCAUGAAAUCAAGAAUCUAGGAAAAAAGAAGUGUCUUACCUCCGUUUUUUUUCUAGCAAGGGGUUCUGCCUUAUACGGUCUGGGGUAGAGCUGUUUCUUGUGUUCAUAGCAACAUCUGUCCGGUCACUGUCAUUCAUGUCAAGUAGCAGAGCAAUUUGCUGAUUCACUCAAAAGAGACACAGAAUGAGACUUUUUUCAUGGAAGCCUUUUUUUCCCUCCUAUGCUGGCAGACCUAACUCCUGGCUUUGUACUCUCCGGGACAGUCACUUAAUGAGCAGUCAGUGAAUCAAUCCUUACAAGACACACAGACUGAAAUGUUCAAAUGCAACUACCUGAACGUGAAUCGAAGGCACUGAUGGGAGAAUGCAACAACCCUUUGCACAGUGCCCGGCGUCAGUCUUAUGCUUGCUUAUCUCACGGGAAAGUCACACUGUGGAUUUGAAUUCACUAUUUAAUCUAAAUACUCUCAGUGAGACACUGGCUGUCAGAAGUGACUUUGUAAAUCAGUCUACGGGAGAUCGGAAAGGGGAGAAAUAGAUGACAACAAGGAGACGUCUUGAAGGAAGAACUAGGAAACAGCAGAAUGGUUGGAUGUUGGGGAUCCUCCACCUGUACCAGUCAGAAUUCCCUGGCCUCGAGUCUGUCUGUGCUUCAUGAACUAAGCAAAAAAAAAAAAAAAAAAAAGGAAUUAAAAGACAAGGUGAAAAAAAAAAAAGGCAAAAAAAGCAAAAUGUCAGUAUAAGACUUCUUCACCUAAAUCAGAAAAUGCGGUUCUGAAGAGCCCACAGGAAGCUAGUAGACAAGGAGCAGUGGUGGAAUCUUAAUAGAAUUUAGCUGACAAAUGUGGAAGAGUGGCAUGAAUCAAUCAGAGAUUUACAGUUUGGCCAGGUUGGAUGGUUUCCCAGAAGGGUACUGAAAAGAACUUGAAGGCCAUGCAGCUUCUUUCUUUCUCAACUGUGAUUGCAUGACAGUUUAGUGGCUUCUGCCAAGAUGAAAAGGCAUGCAGGCAUCUUAAUAAAGUAGCUAAUGAGCAGAAUUUCUUUUGUUGAUGAAUAAAUGGUUUUUCCUACCUCAUUAUUUUAAAUGUGAGGACUGUGUUCAGUUUGGAGUGUGUUUUUAAACCAGCCUGAUGGACUUGCUUGACAUGGACAGCUCAAAUGGUUUCGUUUUGGCAAACUGGCAACCAGCUGAAAAUGUGAUCUUCUGCUGGUCACAGAGCAACAAGUGGUCUUGUGUGAGUGCAUACGAGUGGAUGAGGCUGUGAUUUGAACGAAGAGCUGAACAGCCAUGUGCCUGCAUCUGAAAGAGAGCACAGCUGGGCAAUGAUAGUGCAGAAGGAAGGCUCUAGAGACUCUUCUCAUUAAAGUAUCUCUGAUUGUCAAAGAGAACUGUUCGUUUGUUCUGUGAAUACUACCAUGCGUUACAGGUCUUGCUGUUUCCAAAGGCGAGUGGUGGUAUAUGGAAUGAAGGCACCAUAGCUGCAAACAGACUGGCAGUGAAAAUCUGAAUUUCGGACAGGACUUUCUAAGAAAUGUAUGUCCACACUGGUCUGCGGAGUCUUUCUGAAAUGAUUGAAGGAAGGAGCCUGCAGGCCUUCACAAGAGGAGUUCCUUUUGGAACCAAAGGCAAUAAAACUCUUAGACUGCCAAUAUCAGGAGCUUGGUUUCAACAACCUGAGAUGCGAUGUGCAUGUGUCUGUUGCCUUAGCCUUUACCUUGAUGUCUUUCCAAAAUGUGUUCUCUGGAGUAAGUUCUCAUACAAGCUAGCCUGCUGUUCUGCAUCUUUUCUGUUUUCCCCAGGCUGCAGCAGGUUCACCUUCUAAGCUGGCCCAUCAGCAAUGCUGUGAGAGCUCAGUAGCUUUAUUUGCCCUGUCUUCUCCGUUUGUUUUUCCUUCAAACCCUUAGCAAGCCUUUUUGUCUUCGCCACCUCUGAACUCUCUGCUGCUGUCUUCUGCCUGGGUCCUACUGCACCAGGGGUCAUCUCUGCUUCAUGUAGUAUGGCCUUGGCCUCCAGCUGCCACUAGUUUGGGUUGAAGGCUGAGCAGGGGCUGUGGGGCUGAGCCCACAGCUGGAACACUGCCAUCAGCAUAGGGGAGGAGGGAAGAGGUCUUUUCUCGCUCUCCUUGCAUAUUUGCACCCAUUGGAGCCUUGGUGUUGCUGCCAUGGACCCACAAGGUUGCCCUCAUCAGUGCUAGGCAUUCAGUAUUCAGCUUGAACGUGGAGGUGUGCUUUGCCAGGAGGAACACCACCAUUUCCAGGCAGCAGGGAUGCACAUCACCAGAUCUCUCAGUGCCACAAGAGGCCAUCCCAACUCCAAACACUACAUGGGGAAGCUGCCUGGAAAAUGGGAGAGAAUUUCUACAUCAGGAGUGACUCAGGACUUUGGAUACCAAAGGAAUGCACGUGUGUAAGAAUGAAAGGCAAGUACUACAAGUGGAUCGGAAACAGCUUUAUUUUGUGACAGGUGGUUUUUGUAUCCUGCAGAUGGAGCAGCUACAGUGGGGUAAGAAUGAGGCAUGUUUUGGGUGGCUGGGAAUCAUAGAAUCAUGGAAUGGCCUCGGUUGAAAAGGACCACAAUGAUCAUCGAGUUCCAACCCCCUGCUAUGUGCAGGGUUGCCAACCACCAGACCAGGCUGCCCAGAGCCACAUCCAGCCUGGCCUUGAGAGACCCAGUACAGCACAAGGAGCAUCCAAAUUGGGUACAAAUUAGGAGAAAUUCAAGUGUUUUCUGAAAUGUGUGUUUGCUGUGAAACGUGGCUGAUGUUGAGGGGCUGUCCGUGGCAGUGUCAAGACAGGAGAAUUCAUCAAGAGAGAGCAAGCUGCAGCAUUCAGAACUGUGAAAAUUGUAAAAUCUCCCGUGUCUUGCACUAGUAGAGAUAGAAGUAUGUGGAGAAGUCCUUUGGCUUUGGAGGGCUCUGUGAAUCAUCUCAUGCUGGGAAGGGCUUGUGUUCCUGCAGUUACGUUUGUUACUCCCUUGCCCAGUGACCUACGAAACCCUUCUUGGUCCUUGUGCAUUGGAUGGAAGAAGAAAAACAAAAUUACUUCAAAGCCACCUCCAGUAACUUCUUCAAAGGAGAUGUAGUGUAAUCUUUGUUGUAGGUGUAGGUGUUGGAAUGGCCUCCCCCAUCACUGAGGCUAUCAGUGUUGUUUUUCUGGAGGGUGAUAGUGGCGGAGGCAGAAAGCAGAAGUGCACCACAAAAGGGAACCAGCUGCUCUCCCAUCCUACAGCAUGGUGAAAAAGAGUGAAGAACUGGUACCCUUCUGGACAUAGGCUUUAUUCCAAGUGCUGGGAAAGUGAGAGAAAAGCCCCUGAGAUGCAGAAGAGGGGGGAAGAAGGUCUGCAGGUGGGAUCUGGCCAGGAUUGGGUCCCAACACCACAGCAGUACCAGGCCUGGGGCCACUGGUGUGUUCCGCAGCCACCCACCAGGGCUCUGUCUCAGCUGCGGGGACACUGUGCACUGGCAGCAUUUGAUGUAGUGACAGUGAAGACCUCAGGUGGAGCAGGAGUUCAGCAGCUACUGACAUGCAGGACCUCCAUUUGGAGAGGGCUGCCAUGGUCGGAGCCACAGGGAAUACAGCGCUGGCUUGUGGCAGCCACACAUGGAGGAGCAAUGGAUGACCCUGAUCUAGUGGUUGACAUCAUGACUUACAAGAACGACCUUCAGACAUGGAAAGGAUAGAAGAGUACCUCUCAGGGACCAUGGAGCUGGCAAGCACCCCAGGAUACUGGUGGUGGCCGUAGCAGCUUUGCUGUGGAUAAAUUCUCCUAUUUCCAAAGGGAAUUUGUGACCAUGUAUGAAAUGCCAAACAAUGUGCUAGCAAUCUUUUUGUAUGUAGAUAAGGCAUUUUAAUGCAAUACAGCUCAGCCUGCCUGCAGCAGACCAGACGUACUGACAAGGAUUAAUCGUCCAGCGCAAGACUUGGCAGAGUAACAAGCAGGGAGGACUCCUAACCAGGCAGCUGUUUGGGUCUUAUAUAAGCUGUCUAGACCAAACAUGAAGAAACGAAGCCAACCCUGGCAUCGGACUACCACUUCUGCACAGACAGUUUCCAACCUACAGCUUUCAUAUCUGAGCUUGUGCAAAGCAAGGGAGAAACAGAAGGAUGUUAACAGUCAAGCCAACUCUGCAUCAGAAAAAAGUCUGUGAGCAACUAUAAAAAUAAUGGAAAAGAACAGUAAUGAGUGAGAUUUACUACAGCUAGGAAAACAGUUGACAUUUUGCAUACAGAAAAUAUUGCGUUGCCAAGAACAUCUCCUCACAAUGAGCCCACAGGAGUCAGGUAGAGCUGGGGAACAUGGCUUAUGCUACAACAAAGGGGAGGAUGCUCCUGGCGGAAAGCAGCCUGGGAGAGAAGGUGCAACUUUUCCAAGUUCCUUGUGACUGUUCCAGUGGAAGAUCAAAUUCAUUCAAAGAGAAAAUAUAAUCAGAAAAGAGGCUGUUCUUGAAGUAUUUCACAUGGCAAAUAAGAAGAAAGGUCUGUGGCUGGGACAGGUGUGACCGUGAGGGACUGAAAACAACCAGGGCUGUCACCAGGGAGCAGCGGAGCAAGAUAUAUCCUGUUGGUGGGUAAUGGAUUAGCCAUUGGCAACCUUCAGCUUGAAGGAAGCCAGGAGUUGUAUGACACAACCAAUCCUUGUGCCAUGGGGCAGGAUGUGACCCGCUGGGCGCAGCACAUGCAGGAGCCCUUUGUCACCACGUUGUUUGGCUCAUUAAUGAAUACCAGAACCAGUCUCGUACAGGUUGUCCACAACGUUACACACGUCUGGCUUUUUUUGGGAGCAGUGUGUCACAAGUGCCUGUUUUGCUGUUUCUUGCUGCCAGGGCCCAGGAGAUACCAGCUGCUGAGCAGUGGGGUGCAGGAGGCCCUACCUUGGUGGCCAUGCAGAAGUGGGUUUGCCCCUGCCCAGCCCCAGAGGAGCUCUCCCAUGGAGGACUGCCUGCAGCCAUCCUGACAGUGAGAGCAGACUGUGCCCAGGGACUCUGGGGCUCUUUGGCUUUGUUUGUGGCACAGCUUCUAGGAAGCCCCUAUGAAAGACCAUCACGUUUGGGAAUGUCUGUAACCUGGUUUUUAAGUUACAAGGAUUGGUAUUUUCCCUGUACCCCUUGUCCUUAUUCCAAACCCUUCCUUUCUUGGCUAUAGCAGAUCUCAGCAUUGUGAUUUAUGGGCUCCAGAGGUGUCCCAAAAAGGGAAAAAAUAGCUGUGUUCAGACAGUGUGACAAAGAAAUUGGAGAGAUGGGGGGGGCUGGGGACUGACGGGUCACCUCAUAGGAAUGUCCUGCCUGUGGAGAUGCUGGAGCAGCCUCCUUCCCUUGCUCACAUGGUCAGAGCCUUGUACAAGCAUUUAGAGCUGAGUUGGAACCAUAGCAGAUACAUGACCUGUUUUCUGGACUGACAGAGGGUUUUCUACCCAGCUCCAGGUGUGGCUGUGAGAUGGCAAAAGACUGGGACAGCCCCACACAGCCACUUAACUGCAUUAAAGCAAGCAGGACUGAGUUUCCUGGCUACCAGCUGUGCCUCUGCUCAGGUCUCCGUCCUUGUGGCUGCCUACAGGCUUGCUCUUGCCCUGAAUGGCACAAAGAACUCAUCCUAGCCCUGCACACAUAGUGCUGUCCUGAGCACGUGCCAGCCCUGCUUCAGCCUCCC
rnacentral:lncRNA from 1 species